AGAGUUUGAUCCUGGCUCAGAUUGAACGCUGGCGGCAUGCCUUACACAUGCAAGUCGAACGGCAGCACGGGUGCUUGCACCUGGUGGCGAGUGGCGAACGGGUGAGUAAUACAUCGGAACGUACCUUAUCGUGGGGGAUAACGUAGCGAAAGUUACGCUAAUACCGCAUACGAUCUACGGAUGAAAGCGGGGGACCGUAAGGCCUCGCGCGAUUGGAGCGGCCGAUGUUAGAUUAGGUAGUUGGUGGGGUAAAGGCUCACCAAGCCGACGAUCUAUAGCUGGUCUGAGAGGAUGAUCAGCCACACUGGGACUGAGACACGGCCCAGACUCCUACGGGAGGCAGCAGUGGGGAAUUUUGGACAAUGGGCGCAAGCCUGAUCCAGCCAUUCCGCGUGCAGGACGAAGGCCUUCGGGUUGUAAACUGCUUUUGUACAGAACGAAAAGCCUUGGGUUAAUACCCUGAGGUCAUGACGGUACUGUAAGAAUAAGCACCGGCUAACUACGUGCCAGCAGCCGCGGUAAU
rnacentral:rRNA from 1 species